rnacentral:rRNA from 1 species
UACGAAGGGGGGCUAGCGUUGCUCGGAAUUACUGGGCGUAAAGCGCACGUAGGCGGCUUUCUAAGUCGGGGGUGAAAUCCUGGAGCUCAACUCCAGAACUGCCUUCGAUACUGGGAAACUUGAGUCCGGGAGAGGUGAGUGGAACUGCGAGUGUAGAGGUGAAAUUCGUAGAUAUUCGCAAGAACACCAGUGGCGAAGGCGGCUCACUGGCCCGGUACUGACGCUGAGGUGCGAAAGCGUGGGGAGCAAACAGG